rnacentral:rRNA from 1 species
GACGAACGCUGGCGGCGUGCUUAACACAUGCAAGUCGAACGGAAAGGCCCUGCUUGCAGGGUACUCGAGUGGCGAACGGGUGAGUAACACGUGGGUGAUCUGCCCUGCACUUCGGGAUAAGCCUGGGAAACUGGGUCUAAUACCGGAUAGGAGCCAUUUUUAGUGUGAUGGUUGGAAAGUUUUUUCGGUGUAGGAUGAGCUCGCGGCCUAUCAGCUUGUUGGUGGGGUAAUGGCCUACCAAGGCGGCGAGGGGUAGCCGGCCUGCGAGGGUGGCCGGCCACAGUGGGGCGGAGAUACGGGCCAGACUGCUACGGGAGGAAGCAGGGGGGAAGAUGGCACCAGGGGCGGAAGCGUGAUGCAGCAACGCCGCGGGAGGGAUGACGGCCGUGGGGUUGUAAAACGCUUACGACUGUGACGAAGCGUGAGGGACGGUAAUGGGUAAAGAAGAACCGGCUAACUACGUG